AUGGGAGGAAAGAAAAAAAACAAAUCAAGCGCCACCACUGCCAAUACGUCAGAAACAGGAGGAGGAAUGCAAACAAAAGCUGAUUCAAAAAGCAAAUUAUCCACCACCACCAUUUUAGAAGAUGAAGGCUCGUCCGCAGCACUAGUGGUUGAAGCCGAACAUGCUGUUGCUGUACCUCUCAAUGUUGCUGUGGAUGCACCCAUUGUGUCAUCUUACAACGAAAAAAUUCGUCCUUUGCUUGAUGCAGUUGACAAGCUCCGUAGCCUCAUGGUUAUGGAGGAAGGCAUUCAGUUCCCCACAAUUGUUGUUGUCGGAGACCAGUCAUCUGGCAAAUCUAGCGUUCUUGAAUCCCUUGCUGGAAUCAGUCUGCCACGUGGACAACGCAUCUGCACCAGGGUACCCCUCAUAAUGAGGCUUCAACACCAUGCACGUGCAGAACCAGAGCUUUCACUGGAGUACAAUGGCAGAGUUAAACAGGCUGAUGAGCUCAACAUUUCAAAAGAUAAUAUCAAUGCACUAAUGUCAUUGCUGGUGGAGGGGAAUUUCUAAAACCUUAUUGACUUUGUUGGUGAAAAAGAAUGGUGUGCCUGAUUUGACCACGGUUGAUCUCCCUGGAAUCACUAGGGUUCCUGUUCAUGGCCAGCCUGAGAAUAUUUAUGACCAAAUUAAGGAUAUGAUGGAGUAUAUAAAACCUGAACAGAGCAUCAUUUUAAAUGUGUUGUCUGCGACUGUGGAUUUUACUACUUGUGAAUCGAUUAGGAUGUCACAGAGUGUGGAUAAAACUGGUGAGAGGACUCUGGCUGUGGUUACAAUGGUUGAUAAAGCACCAGAGGGACUGCUAGAUAAGGUUACAACUGAUGAAGUCAAUAUUGGUCUUGGUUAUGUCCGCGUAAGGAACCCGAUUGGAGGUGAGACGUAUAAGGAAGCUCUAGCUAUUUCUGACCAACUAUUUCAAACUCAUCCUCUGCUUUCCAGGAUUGACGAAUCUAUAGUUGGAAUUCAUGUUUUGGCCCAAAAGUUGGUUCAAAUUCAAGCCUCUAGCAUAGCUAGAAACUUGCCGGAUAUUGUUAAGAAAAUUAAUGACAAGCUGAGUUCCUGCCUUUCAGAGCUCGACAAAAUGCCAAAGAAAUUGUCAUCUGUUGCUGAUGCCAUGACAGCUUUCAUCAACAUCAUUGGAGUGUCCAAAGAAUCACUUAGGAAAAUUCUUAUUAGAGGAGAAUUUGACGAGUACCAAAAUGAAAAGCACAUGCAUUGCACGGCCAGGCUUGUAGAAAUGCUCAAUCAGUAUGCUGAUGAACUUCAUAAGGCCAAUGAAAGUGAUCCCAAAAGUAACUUCUUAACGGAGGAGAUUAAGGUUUUGGAAGAAGCGAAAGAUAUUAGUCUUCCCAAUUUUCUUCCCCACAAUGUCUUUCUAUUUUGCAGGGAAAAGUGAGGGGAAUUUCAAGUAUACCCAUUAGGUUUCUUGAGGCUAAAGUGUUUCACAAUAUUGGGGAUGUGGUGAUUUCUGUGUUAAUGCAUGACACACAAGGCUAUUAUCAUCUUCAUAUGGCUACCAGAAGAGCUGGCCAUAAUCUUAUAUCCAAGAUGAAAGAAAGGUCAAACAGCUGGAUCUUGGAGAUUGUGGAAAUGGAGAAACGUACAGAUUUCACGUGUAAUCCUGAAUAUGUAUCUGAAUGGAAUAGGCUCAUGAAAAAACAGAAGGCAUUCAUAGAUGGAGUCUUGAAGGAUGAGCAACGGCCCUCUAAGAUGGACAUAGAGGGUAUUGGGGAGAUUGAAUUUGAAGGUCUAAGGAAGCACACUCAUGUUGAUCUAUCUCAACCUUUUGACUUGAAAAUGCGGAUGACUGCGUAUUGGAAGGUUGUUCUGAGAAGGUUGGUUGAUUGCAUGGCCUUGCAUUUGCAGCUGACUGUUGCAAACCUUGUGAACAAAGAAAUGGAGUUGGAGAUUGGUUGUGAGUUAAUGGGAGCAAAUCACGGCGUUGGGAUUGAGAGGAUGCUGGAGGAAGCUCCAUCAGUUGCAGUCAAGCGCUAGAAGCUCAACAAGAGCAUCAAAAAGCUCAAGGAUUCUAAGGAGGUGGUUGGUAAGAUCAUGGAUACUUAUGCUGGUUAA